GACGAACGCUGGCGGCGUGCCUAAUACAUGCAAGUAGAACGCUGAAGGAGGAGCUUGCUCUUCUGGAUGAGUUGCGAACGGGUGAGUAACGCGUAGGUAACCUGCCUGGUAGCGGGGGAUAACUAUUGGAAACGAUAGCUAAUACCGCAUAACAGUAGAUGUUGCAUGACAUUUGCUUAAAAGGUGCAAUUGCAUCACUACCAGAUGGACCUGCGUUGUAUUAGCUAGUUGGUGGGGUAACGGCUCACCAAGGCGACGAUACAUAGCCGACCUGAGAGGGUGAUCGGCCACACUGGGACUGAGACCCGGCCCAGACUCCUACGGGAGGCAGCAGGAGGGAAUCUUCGGCAAUGGACGGAAGUCUGACCGAGCAACGCCGCGGGAGGGAAGAAAGUUUUCGGAUCGUAAAGCUCUGUUGUAAGAGAAGAACGAGUGUGAGAGUGGAAAGUUCACACUGUGACGGUAUCUUACCAGAAAGGGACGGCUAACUACGUG
rnacentral:rRNA from 1 species